GCCCGGCUAGCUCAAUCGGUAGAGCGUAAGACUCUUACAGUGUCUUCCGACUCUGAUUAGUCAAUCUUAAGGCUGUGGGUUCGACCCCCACGUCGGGCU